rnacentral:misc_RNA from 1 species
GACAAUUUCAUCUUCCAAACUCUGUGCCAUUAUAAAGAAGAUGAAACAAAAAGCCAAAUAAGAAGUACAAAAGAUAUAGCCAGAAAACAUUUCAGACAUUUAAAUUUUCAAAUUCAAAUCAGACUAUUUAUUAAUUUGAUAAAAUUUCUUAAAGAAUAGUCAUAGAAAAUGAUGAUCAAAACAUUCUCAUCAUGCUUGCAAAGGCAACUUUGUAGCAAUU